UCUUCGGCUAGGGACUUCCAACGAUCUGAUUGUUACUUACAGCCCUAGGAAUGAACUCAGUGAGCACGCUUGCGUACGCUUGCGUCGAGCCUCUUACGGCGGCCGAGUCAGGCCAUUGAGUGGUGCAGUUGCGUGCCUCAUUACCAACCACUGCAGCUACAGCAGUGGAGGGGGAUCCGGGUGAAGGUCCUGGACGGGAACCUAGAGCAAGCACUGACUUGGUUGCAGCGGAAGAUGCAGUCGAGCGGGAUUGAGCGGCUUAUAAAGCGCCAGCAGACCCGCCACAUCAAGAACUCUGAGAAGCGCGUCUUGGCCCGCAAGAACCUCGAGCGCAAGAUCCGAUCCCAGGACCUCGCGCGCAAGCUCAAGGCCAUUCUUGUCAAGAAAGUCAGGGGUCUCUGAGGAUGGCUUCGGAGUAGUUUCUUAAAUGGAAAAGGAUAUCACAAAUAUCCUGUUAAUUUGCGGGCAUUUUCUUUUUCUUCUGGAAGUCGGGUUAUGCAGAUUUGCAAACUCUCUUCUCCACCCACUACAAUCAAACAGGGAUUAAAUUGACUUUCUUCUUCUAAGUUAUUCACAAAUUCAUGCAGUUUGAUACUUGAUGCUCAACAUGCAUUGAAGCUUUUGAACGGUUCAUCAUCAGGCAAUCUUAGCGCAAUGUGCUCAAGGCACAUACGUUCAUAAGUGUUUCUAAAUUUUCAUGUGUUUUUAGCUAAACUUUCAUUCAUGAGGGGGAAAUCACUAUUUCCUUUGUUUUAAAAUGUUGGUUUAAUUGUAAAAACUCUCACCCUCAGCAAAUCGAUUAAAUUCUUAUAUGUAAAUCUUGCACAUUCAUGA